rnacentral:rRNA from 1 species
UUAGAGUUUGAUCCUGGCUCAGGACGAACGCUGGCGGCGUGCUUAACACAUGCAAGUCGAACGAUGAAGAGAGCUUGCUCUUGGAUUAGUGGCGAACGGGUGAGUAACACGUGAGUAACCUGCCCUUAACUCUGGGAUAAGCCUGGGAAACUGGGUCUAAUACCGGAUAUGACCUGUCACCGCAUGGUGGUGGGUGGAAAGAUUUUUUGGUUUUGGAUGGACUCGCGGCCUAUCAGCUUGUUGGUGAGGUAAUGGCUCACCAAGGCGACGACGGGUAGCCGGCCUGAGAGGGUGACCGGCCACACUGGGACUGAGACACGGCCCAGACUCCUACGGGAGGCAGCAGUGGGGAAUAUUGCACAAUGGGCGCAAGCCUGAUGCAGCGACGCCGCGUGAGGGAUGAAGGCCUUCGGGUUGUAAACCUCUUUCAGUAGGGAAGAAGCGAAAGUGACGGUACCUGCAGAAGAAGCGCCGGCUAACUACGUGCCAGCAGCCGCGGU